AGUGAACGCUGGCGGUAGGCCUAACACAUGCAAGUCGAACGGCAGCACAGUAAGAGCUUGCUCUUACGGGUGGCGAGUGGCGGACGGGUGAGGAAUACAUCGGAAUCUACUUUUUCGUGGGGGAUAACGUAGGGAAACUUACGCUAAUACCGCAUACGACCUACGGGUGAAAGCAGGGGAUCUUCGGACCUUGCGCGAUUGAAUGAGCCGAUGUCGGAUUAGCUAGUUGGCGGGGUAAAGGCCCACCAAGGCGACGAUCCGUAGCUGGUCUGAGAGGAUGAUCAGCCACACUGGAACUGAGACACGGUCCAGACUCCUACGGGAGGCAGCAGUGGGGAAUAUUGCACAAUGGGCGCAAGCCUGAUCCAGCCAUACCGCGUGGGUGAAGAAGGCCUUCGGGUUGUAAAGCCCUUUUGUUGGGAAAGAAAAGCAGCAGGUUAAUACCCCGCUGUUCUGACGGUACCCAAAGAAUAAGCACCGGCUAACCUCGUG
rnacentral:rRNA from 1 species